rnacentral:sRNA from 1 species
AAAGGGCAGGUAGUAGCUGUGGAUACAUAUUGCUGGCUUCACAAAGGAGCUAUUGCUUGUGCUGAAAAACUAGCCAAAGGUGAACCUACUGAUAGGUAUGUAGGAUUUUGUAUGAAAUUUGUAAAUAUGUUACUAUCUCAUGGGAUCAAGCCUAUUCUCGUAUUUGAUGGAUGUACUUUACCUUCUAAAAAGGAAGUAGAGAGAUCUAGAAGAGAGCUGCCCGGUCUCAAGGGGUAGAUUGCCUCGUGGCUCCCUAUGAAGCUGAUGCGCAGUUGGCCUAUCUUAACAAAGCGGGAAUUGUACAAGCCAUAAUUACAGAGGACUCGGAUCUCCUAGCUUUUGGCUGUAAAAAGGUGAUUUUAAAGAUGGACCAGUUUGGAAAUGGACUUGAAAUUGAUCAGGCUCGGCUAGGAAUGUGCAGGCAGCUUGGGGAUGUAUUCACGGAAGAGAAGUUUCGUUACAUGUGUAUUCUUUCAGGCUGUGACUACCUGUCAUCACUGCGUGGGAUUGGAUUAGCAAAGGCAUGCAAAGUCCUAAGACUAGCCAAUAAUCCAGAUAUAGUAAAGGUUAUCAAGAAAAUUGGACAUUAUCUCAAGAUGAAUAUCACGGUACCAGAGGAUUACAUCAAAGGAUUUAUUCGGGCCAACAAUACCUUCCUCUAUCAGCUAGUUUUUGAUCCCAUCAAAAGGAAACUUAUUCCUCUGAACGCCUAUGAAGAUGAUGUUGAUCCUGAAACACUAAGCUACGCUGGGCA